UUGAAAAUGUAUCACUUUUAAACAGCAGAACCUUUAGAGAAAAAAAAGCCAUACAGAACUGGGCCAAGGAAUAGAAACAUCCCUCUGUAGCUACUGAUUUCUACAGUAUGCAAGGCAAUUAGGCAAUGACUUUUUCUGGCAAAGAAGAACAGGGCAAGAAGAAGAGAGUUAAUGCAUGCAAAUCAUUCAGCUGACCAAUGAAGACCAGCUGGAUAAGAGAGUCUGAAGAUAACUGAGUCACCAUUCAUAUUCCUUGAUCAUCCUGCAAAAGAGGCAUCGUGUAGCAUCAAAGGACAGGGACC